CUUACACAUGCAUGUCGAGUGGGUAACGAUCCCGCUUCGGUGGGAGGCGACGACCGGCAAAUGGGUGAGUAAUACAUAUGCAACUUGCCCGUAGCUGGAGGAUAGCUUCCGGAAACGGAAAUUAAUACUCCAUAAUAUCCUAAUAUCGCAUGUUAUAAGGAUUAAAGUUUCGACGGCUACGGAUGGGCAUAUGUCCCAUUAGCUUGUUGGUGAGGUAACGGCUCACCAAGGCUACGAUGGGUAGGGGGCCUGAGAGGGUGAUCCCCCACACUGGUACUGAGACACGGACCAGACUCCUACGGGAGGCAGCAGUGAGGAAUAUUGGUCAAUGGGCGAAAGCCUGAACCAGCCAUGCCGCGUGCAGGAUGACUGUCCUAUGGAUUGUAAACUGCUUUUCUGCAGGAAGAAACGCUUCUACGUGUAGAGGUUUGACGGUACUGCAGGAAUAAGCAUCGGCUAACUCCGUGCCAGCAGCCGCGGUAAUACGGAGGAUGCAAGCGUUAUCCGGAUUCAUUGGGUUUAAAGGGUGCGUAGGCGGAUUGGUAAGUCAAAGGUGAAAGUCUGUAGCUUAACUAUAGAAGUGCCUUUGAUACUGCUAGUCUUGAGUACAGUUGAGGCGAGUGGAAUGUGUAGUGUAGCGGUGAAAUGCAUAGAUACUACACAGAACACCAAUUGUGAAGACAGCUCGCUAAGCUGCUACUGACGCUCAGGCACGAAAGCGUGGGGAGCGAACAGGAUUAGAUACCCUGGUAGUCCACGCUGUAAACUAUGAUCACUAGCUGUUGGCGAAUAAUUGUCAGUGGCUGAGCGAAAGCGUUAAGUGAUCCACCUGGGGAGUACGAUCGCAAGGUUGAAACUCAAAGGAAUUGACGGGGGGGCCCGCACAAGCGGUGGAACCAUGUGGUUUAAUUCGAUGAUACGCGAGGAACCUUACCUGGGCUUAAAUGUAGAACGACGUCCUGAGAAAUCGGGAUUCCCUUCGGGGCGGACUACAAGGUGCUGCAUGGUUGUCGUCAGCUCGUGCCGUGNAGGUAUCGGGUUAAGUCCCAUAACGAGCGCAACCCCUAUUGUUAGUUG
rnacentral:rRNA from 1 species